CCCAGCCAAAGCUUGCAAAGCUCCAUCGAACGUCUUAUCAAGAAGCAUAGAAAUGGCUGCAAGGCUCCCACUUCUCCUUGGGGUCGUAUUGGUCGCUCUCCUGCUCGUCUCCCAGGAUGCAGCGCCUGCAGCAGAAGAAAAGAUGGCGCAACUUCCAGACGGGUAUGGUGGAUAUGGGCCUGGUUACCUAGGUGGCUACGACAACAACGGCGGAGGAGGAGCCGGUCAAAAUGGUGGUGAUGGUGGCAGCGGUUAUCCUUGAGGUGAAUAUUACGGGGUGACGGUCAAAAUGGUGGUUGUCACUCUAGAAACCAAAUAUAAAUGGUCUGUAUCUAUAUAUGAAAUAAGGAGUGUCUUCAUCUGCUCGAGCGUUUACGUGCUAGCAGGGCCGAUAUGAUAGUAUUGCGAGCUAGUAAAUGUCGUAUGAUCACUUGUGUAUGCAUGACAUAUGCUGACUUUUAGUUUUAGGUAUGGUGGCAACGGUGGGUCAUGCGUACAUGUAUUCGAACACAUAUCCAUAGGUGCACCUAUUUCCAGUUAGUUUAAGUUAAACAAACAUAUACAGUACUAGUUUAUGAACA